rnacentral:rRNA from 1 species
UACGGAGGGUGCAAGCGUUAAUCGGAAUUACUGGGCGUAAAGCGUGCGCAGGCGGUUUGUUAAGUCCGUUGUGAAAGCCCCGAGCUCAACUUGGGAAUUGCAGUGGAUACUGGCAGGCUGGAGUACGGUAGAGGAAGGUGGAAUUCCCGGUGUAGCAGUGAAAUGCGUAGAUAUCGGGAGGAACACCAAUGGCGAAGGCAAUGUUCUGGCUCGUUUCUGACGCUCAGGUGCGAAAGCCAGGGGAGCGAACGGG